rnacentral:lncRNA from 1 species
AUAAAUUAUUGCAUUAUUUUUUAUUAUAAAUAAUCGUUCUCUUUCAAGUUCAAAGAUAUUACCUUCCAAUAUUAUACACACUUUGAACCUCAAGAAAAUGUGCAGAGGAAGAGAAGAGAUAGAAGAAGAAGAAGAAGAAAAUACUCAAAUUCAUACAGUUUCCUGUGAGCUUUGCAAUUCAGAGGCUUCAUUAUAUUGCCAGGCUGAUGAUGCCUUUCUGUGCAAGAAAUGUGACAGUUUUGUUCAUGCUGCAAAUUUCUUAGCCCAUAGACACAUCAGAUGCUUGCUUUGCACCACUUGUGGAAGUUUUACUCAACGAUAUCUGAUUGGAACUUCGGUCGAGGUGGUUCUUCCCACAAUUGUUUGCUUGAAGGGGAGAGGCAGUGGAUGUGAUCAAAACCUUGAAGAAAAGUACAAUAGAGAUUGGAAAGAACCUUUCUUGUUUCUUUGAUUAUUUCUUCAUUGGCAGUUUGAGAUUGGAUUAAACAAGAAAUCUCAGAUUUAGAGAUAUUUCCAUGUUAUAUAUGUGCGGAUUGAAGAAGAAUUUUUCUGCUGAUUUAUUAGUUUAUUUUCAGUACUAUGUAGUUCGUUAUAAUCUUUAUUUUAAGGAAAGUAGUUGAUUAAUCUUGGUUGUGGGUGCGUUGAAUUAUUAAGAAAUCAAGAAUCAUAAAUUAAUUGAAAUCAUUUUCU